ensembl:lncRNA
UUAUUGUCUAUAUGAGUAACUUUCUAUUUACAGACCAAAAAAUAAUAAUAAUAAUAAUUAGCAUAACGUCUUGCAUGUAAACUACAUGCAAAUAAUUUUGGACUAAACACAUCUAAUCAACAAUUCCCACAGCAGUUUCUCACACUGAUUUUCCACACCACCUGUCUAACAGUAAUUUGGAGAAUUUUUGGAGCAUUGUUUGUUAUUUAAUCUUGUUCUGUUGUUUUGUAGAUUUGGGAUUCUUUGACUCUUUGCCAUCGCUCUAAACUUCCUGGCCUUUGGUUUUUAGACAAACAGAAAGCUGCUCAUAGACAUCUGCUCGUGGACAGAUUAAGGGAUGUGUUUGAACAGAAGCAGAGCUCUGGGACGUGUGGACAGACUUUCACUGUAAUGAAGGACAUCUGCUCGUGGACAGGUAAGACUUCUAACUUGUGUUUUUGUUUUGUUGUGUACUAAACAUGUAGGUUACCAUCAUUUUCUUUUUGGAGGGUGACUCCUCUAGAAAUCAAAUGAUGGUAACCUAAACAGGUGGGGAAGGGACGGCGGAGCUGAAAAUUUAUACAGCAAAAUUUUAUUUUUUUUUCUGUCAAG